rnacentral:rRNA from 1 species
CCUACGGGUGGCAGCAGUGAGGAAUAUUGGUCAAUGGACGAGAGUCUGAACCAGCCAAGUAGCGUGAAGGAUGACUGCCCUAUGGGUUGUAAACUUCUGUUAUAAAGGAAUAAAACAGGGCACGUGUGCCUUCUUGCAUGUACAAUAUGAAUAAGGAUCGGCUAACUCCGUGCCAGCAGCCGCGGUAAUACGGAGGAUCCGAGCGUUAUCCGGAUUUAUGGGGUUUAAAGGGAGCGUAGGUGGGUUGUUAAGUCAGUUGUGAAAGUUUGCGGCUCAACCGUAAAAUUGCACUUUAUAAUGGCAGUCUUGCGUACAGUUGAGGUCGGCGGCAUUC